UGGAAGCAUAUCAGAUUAUCCAACUCGCAAGCAGAUGUAUCUUGACACUUCAGUCAUGGGCGCUGAUUUCAGGGCCUUCGUUGAGAUUGUGUUUCAGAAUCAUGAGAAUAUUAUCCAGAGCUGGCACCUCGAUGGAUACUCCUUCUGGGUAGUCGGGUAAGAGUUAUCCCGCCCGAAAAAACUUAUAUUCAUUACUAACUUGAUAUAUAAAUUAGGAGACCAAGUUUAAGCAAGAAUUUCUCACAUUUAAUCGGAAGCUUACUAAUUUUAACCUAUGCUUGCAGAAUGGAUGGAGGAGUUUGGACGCCGGCGAGCCGUGAUCAAUACAAUCUUAGAGAUGCAGUAUCACGUUG
rnacentral:lncRNA from 1 species